rnacentral:rRNA from 1 species
CCUACGGGAGGCAGCAGUAGGGAAUAUUGCGCAAUGGGCGCAAGCCUGACCCAGCAACGCCGCGUGAAGGAAGAAGGCUUUCGGGUUGUAAACUCCUUUUGUCAGGGACGAAGCAAGUGACGGUACCUGACUAAUAAGCCACGGCUAACUACGUGCCAGCAGCCGCGGUAAUACGUAGGUGGCAAGUGUUAUCCGGAUUUACUGGGUGCAAAGGGCGUGUAGGCGGGACUGCAAGUCAGAUGUGAAAACCACGGGCUCAACCUGUGGACUGCAUUUGAAACUGUAAUUCUUGAGGACUGGAGAGGCAGGCGGAAUUCCUAGUGUAGGGGUGAAAUGCGUAGAUAUUAGGAGGAACACCAGUGGCGAAGGCGGUCUGCUGGACCGCAACUGACGCUGAGGCGCGAAAGCGUGGGGAGCAAACAGGAUUAGAUACCCGAGUAGUC